UACGAAGGGUGCAAACGUUGCUCGGAAUCAUUGGGCGUAAAGCGCACGUAGGCGCCUUCGCAAGUCGGAUGUGAAAUCCCAUGGCUCAACCAUGGACGUGCAUUCGAAACUGCGAAGCUUGAGUAUGGAAGAGGGUCGCGGAAUUCCCGGUGUAGAGGUGAAAUUCGUAGAUAUCGGGAGGAACACCAGUGGCGAAGGCGGCGACCUGGGCCAAUACUGACGCUGAGGUGCGAAAGCGUGGGGAGCAAACAGG
rnacentral:rRNA from 1 species